GCAUAUCAAUAAGCGGAGGAAAAGAAACCAACAGGGAUUGCCCUAGUAACGGCGAGUGAAGCGGCAACAGCUCAAAUUUGAAAUCUGGCUCCUUCGGGGUCCGAGUUGUAAUUUGCAGAAGAUGCUUCUGGUGUGGCCCCGGUCUAAGUCCCUUGGCACAGGACGUCAUAGAGGGUGAGAACCCCGUAUGUGACCGGUGGCCUAUGCCUCUGUGAAGCUCUUUCAACGAGUCGAGUUGUUUGGGAAUGCAGCUCAAAUUGGGUGGUAUAUUCCAUCUAAAGCUAAAUAUUGGCCAGAGACCGAUAGCGCACAAGUAGAGUGAUCGAAAGAUGAAAAGCACUUUGAAAAGAGAGUUAAAUAGUACGUGAAAUUGUUAAAAGGGAAGCUCUUGCUACCAGACGCGGGCGCCGUUGAUCAUCCUAGGUUCUCCUAGGUGCACUCGGCGGUGCUCGGGUCAGCAUCGGUUUUGGUGGUGGGACAAAGGCCUUGGGAAUGUAGCUCCUCUUCGGAGGAGUGUUAUAGCCCUCGGUGCAAUGCCACCUACCGGGACCGAGGACCGCGCUUCGGCGAGGAUGCUGGCAUAAUGGUCGUAAGCGGCCCGUCUUGAAACACGGACCAAGGAGUCUAACAUCUAUGCGAGUGUUUGGGUGGUAAACCCAUUCGCGGAAUGAAAGUGAACGUAGCUGAGAACCCCUCGGGGCGCACCAGCGACCGAUCCUGAUGUCUUCGGACGGAUUUGAGUAAGAGCAUAGCUGUUGGGACCCGAAAGAUGGUGAACUAUGCUUGCAUAGGGUGAAGCCAGAGGAAACUCUGGUGGAGGCUCGCAGCGGUUCUGACGUGCAAAUCGAUCGUCAAAUGUGGGCAUAGGGGCGAAAGACUAAUCGAACCAUCUAGUAGCUGGUUCCUGCCGA
rnacentral:rRNA from 1 species